AUCCAGUUGAUGAGUCCCAAAUGGGACGAAACGUGCGUCCUGGAU
rnacentral:hammerhead_ribozyme from 1 species